rnacentral:misc_RNA from 1 species
GGCAAACGAAGAAAAACCGCCUUCAAUUAUAUCGACAAGUAAUACAGUGGUUGGUCCGAGCACGGAACGCCGCAGAACGCCGCAAUCGACGCGACGACGAUAGAGUCGAUCGUCGCCCCCUCCCAUAGGACCUCUCUCUCGCGGAGGUACGCCUCCAGCAGAAACAUGGAAGCACGUCGUGGUACUUCAGUGACGUCACAAUAGUCUCGACAGGAAUGCUGUUGAAGGCGUUCGUACCCUUGGAGCCUGGGCCCCUUGGGUUCUGGGCGAGUUGCACGCCUUGCCCAGUCAAAAUAUAG